rnacentral:tRNA from 1 species
GAAAUAUGAAUCAAUCAGAAAAAGCUUCUAACUUUUUAAAUAGCAGUGUAAAUCUGUUAAUAUUUCU